rnacentral:rRNA from 1 species
AGUGAACGCUGGCGGUAGGCCUAACACAUGCAAGUCGAACGGCAGCACAGUAAGAGCUUGCUCUUACGGGUGGCGAGUGGCGGACGGGUGAGGAAUACAUCGGAAUCUACUUUUUCGUGGGGGAUAACGUAGGGAAACUUACGCUAAUACCGCAUACGACCUACGGGUGAAAGCAGGGGAUCUUCGGACCUUGCGCGAUUGAAUGAGCCGAUGUCGGAUUAGUUAGUUGGCGGGGUAAAGGCCCACCAAGGCGGCGAUCCGUAGCUGGUCUGAGAGGAUGAACAGCCACACUGGAAGUGAGACACGGUCCAGACUCCUACGGGAGGCAGCAGUGGGGAAUAUUGGACGAUGGGCGCAAGCCUGAUCCAGCCAUACCGCGUGGGUGAAGAAGGCCUUCGGGUUGUAAAGCCCUUUUGUUGGGAAAGAAAAGCAGCAGGUUAAUACCCCGCUGUUCUGACGGUACCCAAAGAAUAAGCACCGGCUAACUUCGUG